UCAUUGUCAACACUCAAACGAUUCAUUCCUGCAUCAGAUGUUUGAGGUGGCGUUAUGUUUGUUGCCAUCUCUGAUAUCAGUACAGCCGACGAGUUGAUCGGGAUAGUAGUGAAAUCAACUGGAUUCUCACUGGUUAAAAAGCCUUAAAGAGGAUUGGGUUUGACUGUUUGGGUUUGACUUCUCAAUCUGACCCUCAGUUAUCUGCUGCUGAUCUAGCUGUCUCGUGUCAGUCAAUAAACCUACAGCCUGAUUUUCCAUCAGAUGAGACCUCUGAAAUUCAGAAGCAAGCAGGAAGACACGAACAAAGACAACCAAAGGAAAAAUGCAGUCCGAGGAUGAUAUGGCACUCGGAUUGAAGCCAGACGCAGAGUCGAGAGAGACCCGCAUGGCUGGCAGCUGUUGAUGAGUGCGGCUUAUGGUCAUUUCCAAUUCAUCUCUAUACUGAAAGGUUCAGAUGUUCGCUUCACCACAGAUACACUUGUGGACCAAAAUCACUGUUUGGGUGGAUACAGAUGUCAUAUAAGUUCUAACAGGCCUCACAACAACAUGGGAUUUGUGCUUUUAAAAAGUCAUGGAAUGGCAAAUUGUACCGUAUACAUGGCGGGAGUUGCAUGCCUACACAAACACGCACGUACAAACAUUCAUUACGGGCAUACAGACAAAUAAGAGCCCUUCACUUUCAGGAGCGGAAUAAAAUGGAGUGAGAAGUCAGGC
ensembl:lncRNA